UACGAAGGGUGCAAACGUUGCUCGGAAUCAUUGGGCGUAAAGCGCACGUAGGCGGCUUCGCAAGUCGGAUGUGAAAUCCCUCAGCUUAACUGGGGAACUGCGUCUGAUACUGGAUGGCUUGGAUUUGGGAGAGGGAUGCGGAAUUCCAGGUGUAGCGGUGAAAUGCGUAGAUAUCUGGAGGAACACCGGUGGCGAAGGCGGCAUCCUGGACCAACAUUGACGCUGAGGAGCGAAAGCCAGGGGAGCAAACGGG
rnacentral:rRNA from 1 species